AUUGAACGCUGGCGGCAGGCUUAACACAUGCAAGUCGAGCGAGCGGCGGACGGGUGAGUAAUGUCUGGGAAACUGCCUGAUGGAGGGGGAUAACUACUGGAAACGGUAGCUAAUACCGCAUACCAUCAGAUGUUCCCAGAUGGGAUUAGCUAGUAGGUGAGGUAAUGGCUCACCUAGGCGACGAUCCCUAGCUGGUCUGAGCGGCUGACCAGCCACACUGGAACGGAGACACGGUCCAGACUCCUACGGGAGGCAGCAGUGGGGAAUAUUGCACAAUGGGCGCAAGCCUGAUGCAGCCAUGCCGCGUGUGUGAAGAAGGCCUUCGGGUUGUAAAGUACUUUCAGCGGGGAGGCGUUACCCGCAGAAGAAGCACCGGCUAACUCCGUGCCAGCAGCCGCGGUAAUUC
rnacentral:rRNA from 1 species